UGGGCUGCUUUAAGGUCCUAACAUUUCCGAACAGGUCCGAACAAAUAACAAAAGGUCCGAACGGCGACAUAACAAAAGGUCCGAACGUAGGUCCGAACACUUCCGAACGAAGGUCCGAACACUUCCGAACGAAAAAGACCCGGAUGAAGAAAAAGACCCGGAUGUAGCAAGCCGGCGCACAGUGACGUGGAGGAGGAGGCUUCGCGUGUCAGCCAUGUUUUCCGCCGCAAUGAAGAAACAAUCGGAGAAAGAUGACAAAAACAUGGAAGCCGAGUAGCUACUGGAAGGACAUCUGCUUCAAAUAUGCCCGGGGCCAAUUCCAUUUUUCAAUUGGUAAACAGCCAGGGUCCAAGAAAUGGAAAACGGCUUUCACCGACACCAGCGCACUUUUGUUCCAGAUACCCCCAGAAGGCUAGAACAAAGGCAUGGGUUUCAGCAGGACCAUGGAGAGCAUCCAGGUAGCUGAGUGGCUCUGCUCCUGGAUUGCAGGUGGCAGAAAGACUCUACAUGACUCACGGCCAAGCAGCCUAAGACCCUGAAGUCAACAGAGUCAGUGAGUGUUUGCCUCACACUUGUCGAAGAGUUUGAGCAAGCACACAACAGGCUGUCUCUUAAUGGCUGCUUAGGAGGGAUAAGAGGAAGGACAGGGACAUGCUGCUGCAAGGCAAUGUACUUCCCAAACAGCUGCACCUGGCCAAAGAGCCUCUCCUCCAGUGAACACACUCCCGGCUGCCCCUGUGCAACACGCACAUUAAGUCAUGACUUUUGAAGAGCCUGAAAACCAUGAAGGAGAAGCUUUCCUCCGCCAGCGCACUCUGGCAUCCUAGAAGGAACCUGUGUGUUGUACCCUCCACAGUACGGGCCAUCUCCUCCGUCCCAGUAUCCUUCAUUUUAUCAUCUAUUUCUGCACUCUCAGUUUGCCCAUUAUCCUCCAUUUACACAUGCUCCUCCAGCGCAGCAUCCUCCUCUAUUUAACAAUGCUCCUCCAGUACAGCAAGCUCUUCACCAAUAUUUGUGACUUUGUUCGUCACAUCCUUUUUGCACACAUUCAUUUGUACUUUGCUCUCUUUUAUUUAUAUGGAUGACUGGAGGAGGAAUUUGCAGUAGUAGGUGUCACCAAUAUUCGUAACUUUAUUUGUCACAUCCUGUUUGCACACAUUCAUUUGCACUUCGGUAUCUUUUAUAUUUUAUUUUUUAAUACUAUAAUAUAAUAUAAUAUAUAUUAUGAAUAUUCAUGCAAAAAAUAAAAAGAAUUGCUGUCCUUACUAUGUGGUCAUGUUAUUAUUAACUGUUUUCUCCUUGGUAAUUUGUUUUAUUCUGAAUUUAUUUUCAUUGAGAAGACAUACCUAAUAAUCAUUCAAACAUAAAAUAAUCUUGCAGAUAAUUAAACUUUUUGAAAAGAUGAGAGGAUAUAUUAUGUAAGGGCCAUCUACAUUUACGUAUAUGUACACACACAUUGUUUUGGUCGUACAAGCACUGGUAGGUCUAAUGUGCCGCACUGGAUCAGUUGGUUGUGAGUUCAAAUCCCAAAAGAAACAUGACUGUUAAAGUGCCAAAACACCUAGUGAUGAAUUGACUAUAAACAUUGUUGAGAUGAUAAAGCAAGAAAAAAUGCAAAUAGUGCAGAAUUUCCUCUUUUUUUUCUCCUUUUCUUUUUCCCUCUUCCCCCUCUUUUCCCCCUCCUUCCCCCUCGCAGGCAGUCCACUAUGCCCCUUUUUUGGCCUCACCCGCUAGCAGUUGGGCUGCUUUAAGGUCCUAACAUUUCCGAACAGGUCCGAACAAAUAACAAAAGGUCCGAACGGCGACAUAACAAAAGGUCCGAACGUAGGUCCGAACACUUCCGAACGAAGGUCCGAACACUUCCGAACGAAAAAGACCCGGAUGAAGAAAAAGACCCGGAUGUAGCAAGCCGGCGCACAGUGACGUGGAGGAGGAGGCUUCGCGUGUCAGCCAUGUUUUCCGCCGCAAUGAAGAAACAAUCGGAGAAAGAUGACAAAAACAUGGAAGCCGAGUAGCUACUGGAAGGACAUCUGCUUCAAAUAUGCCCGGGGCCAAUUCCAUUUUUCAAUUGGUAAACAGCCAGGGUCCAAGAAAUGGAAAACGGCUUUCACCGACACCAGCGCACUUUUGUUCCAGGUACAUUUGCUUCAAGAUACCCCCAGAAGGCUAGAACAAAGGCAUGGGUUUCAGCAGGACCAUGGAGAGCAUCCAGGUAGCUGAGUGGCUCUGCUCCUGGAUUGCAGGUGGCAGAAAGACUCUACAUGACUCACGGCCAAGCAGCCUAAGACCCUGAAGUCAACAGAGUCAGUGAGUGUUUGCCUCACACUUGUCGAAGAGUUUGAGCAAGCACACAACAGGCUGUCUCUUAAUGGCUGCUUAGGAGGGAUAAGAGGAAGGACAGGGACAUGCUGCUGCAAGGCAAUGUACUUCCCAAACAGCUGCACCUGGCCAAAGAGCCUCUCCUCCAGUGAACACACUCCCGGCUGCCCCUGUGCAACACGCACAUUAAGUCAUGACUUUUGAAGAGCCUGAAAACCAUGAAGGAGAAGCUUUCCUCCGCCAGCGCACUCUGGCAUCCUAGAAGGAACCUGUGUGUUGUACCCUCCACAGUACGGGCCAUCUCCUCCGUCCCAGUAUCCUUCAUUUUAUCAUCUAUUUCUGCACUCUCAGUUUGCCCAUUAUCCUCCAUUUACACAUGCUCCUCCAGCGCAGCAUCCUCCUCUAUUUAACAAUGCUCCUCCAGUACAGCAAGCUCUUCACCAAUAUUUGUGACUUUGUUCGUCACAUCCUUUUUGCACACAUUCAUUUGUACUUUGCUCUCUUUUAUUUAUAUGGAUGACUGGAGGAGGAAUUUGCAGUAGUAGGUGUCACCAAUAUUCGUAACUUUAUUUGUCACAUCCUGUUUGCACACAUUCAUUUGCACUUCGGUAUCUUUUAUAUUUUAUUUUUUAAUACUAUAAUAUAAUAUAAUAUAUAUUAUGAAUAUUCAUGCAAAAAAUAAAAAGAAUUGCUGUCCUUACUAUGUGGUCAUGUUAUUAUUAACUGUUUUCUCCUUGGUAAUUUGUUUUAUUCUGAAUUUAUUUUCAUUGAGAAGACAUACCUAAUAAUCAUUCAAACAUAAAAUAAUCUUGCAGAUAAUUAAACUUUUUGAAAAGAUGAGAGGAUAUAUUAUGUAAGGGCCAUCUACAUUUACGUAUAUGUACACACACAUUGUUUUGGUCGUACAAGCACUGGUAGGUCUAAUGUGCCGCACUGGAUCAGUUGGUUGUGAGUUCAAAUCCCAAAAGAAACAUGACUGUUAAAGUGCCAAAACACCUAGUGAUGAAUUGACUAUAAACAUUGUUGAGAUGAUAAAGCAAGAAAAAAUGCAAAUAGUGCAGAAUUUCCUCUUUUUUUUCUCCUUUUCUUUUUCCCUCUUCCCCCUCUUUUCCCCCUCC